GACGAACGCUGGCGGCGUGCUUAACACAUGCAAGUCGAACGGAAAGGCCCUGCUUUUGUGGGGUGCACGAGUGGCGAACGGGGGAGUAACACGUGAGUAACCUGCCCUUGACUUUGGGAUAACUUCAGGAAACUGGGGCUAAUACCGGAUAGGAGCUCCUGCUGCAGGGUGGGGGUUGGAAAGUUUCGGCGGUUGGGGAUGGACUCGCGGCUUAUCAGCUUGUUGGUGGGGUAGUGGCUUACCAAGGCUUUGAAGGGUAGCAGGCCUGAGAGGGUGACCGGCCACAUUGGGACUGAGAUACGGCCCAGACUCCUACGGGAGGCAGCAGUGGAGAAUAUUGCACAAUGGGCGGAAGCCUGAUGCAGCAACGCCGCGUGCGGGAUGACGGCCUUCGGGUUGUAUUCCGCUUUCGCCUGUGACGAAGCGUGAGUGACGGUAAUGGGUAAAGAAGCACCGGCUAACUACGUG
rnacentral:rRNA from 1 species